GAUGAACGCUGGCGGCGUGCUUAACACAUGCAAGUCGAACGAUGAGUGAAGACGGUAACCUUCGGGCGGAAGGCUUCAUUUCGAGUGGCGGACGGGUGAGUAACGCCUGGGUAACCUGCCUCAUACAGGGGGAUCACAGUUGGAAACGACAUUUAAUACCGCGUCAGACCGCAGCACCGCAUGGUGCGGGGGUAAACACUCCGGUGGUAUGCGAUGGACCUGUGUUCGAUUAGCCGGUUUGCGGGGUAACGGCCGAGCCAAGCGACGAUCGAAAGCUGAGAUGGGAGGAUGGCCCACCACAUUGGGGCAGAGACACGGCGCGAACUCCUAGGGAAGGGAGCAGUGGGGAAUAUUGCACGAUGGGGGAGGCACUGAGGCAGCCGCGCCGCGUAGGUGAGGAAGUAUUUCAGUAUGGAUAGCACUAUCGGCAGGGCAGAAAGUGACGGUACCUUAGUAAGAAGCCCCGGCUAACUACGUG
rnacentral:rRNA from 1 species